rnacentral:rRNA from 1 species
CCUACGUGAGGCAGCAGUGAGGAAUAUUGGUCAAUGUACGCAAGUCUUCACCAGCCAUGCCGCGUGCAGGAAGACGGCUCUAUGAGUUGUAAACUGCUUUUGUACGAGGGUAAACGCAGAUACGCGUAUCUGUCUGAAAGUAUCGUACGAAUAAGGAUCGGCUAACUCCGUGCCAGCAGCCGCGGUAAUACGGAGGAUUCAAGCGUUAUCCGGAUUUAUUGGGUUUAAAGGGUGCGUAGGCGGGCGGAUAAGUUAGAGGUGAAAUCCCGAGGCUCAACUUCGGAACUGCCUCUGAUACUGUUCGGCUAGAGAGUAGUAGCGGUAGGCGGAAUGUAUGGUGUAGCGGUGAAAUGCUUAGAGAUCAUACAGAACACCGAUUGCGAAGGCAGCUUACCAAGCUACUUCUGACGUUGAGGCACGAAAGCGUGGGGAGCAAACAGGAUUAGAUACCCUAGUAGUC